CCUACGGGAGGCAGCAGUGAGGAAUAUUGGUCAAUGGACGAGAGUCUGAACCAGCCAAGUAGCGUGAAGGAUGACUGCCCAUGGGUCGUAAACUUCUUUUAUAUGGGAAUAAAAUGUUCCACGUGUGGGAUUUUGUAUGUACCAUAUGAAUAAGGAUCGGCUAACUCCGUGCCAGCAGCCGCGGUAAUACGGAGGAUCCGAGCGUUAUCCGGAUUUAUUGGGUUUAAAGGGUGCGUAGGCGGUUUUUUAAGUUAGUGGUUAAACGUCGGGGCUUCACCUUGAUUUGCCAUUAAUACUGUAAGACU
rnacentral:rRNA from 1 species